CAGUGAGGAAUAUUGGUCAAUGGGCGCAGGCCUGAACCAGCCCAAGUAGCGUGAAGGAUGACUGCCCUAUGGGUUGUAAACUUCUUUUAUAAAGGAAUAAAGUCGGGUAUGUAUACCCGUUUGCAUGUACUUUAUGAAUAAGGAUCGGCUAACUCCGUGCCAGCAGCCGCGGUAAUACGGAGGAUCCGAGCGUUAUCCGGAUUUAUUGGGUUUAAAGGGAGCGUAGAUGGAUGUUUAAGUCAGUUGUGAAAGUUUGCGGCUCAACCGUAAAAUUGCAGUUGAUACUGGAUAUCUUGAGUGCAGUUGAGGCAGGCGGAAUUCGUGGUGUAGCGGUGAAAUGCUUAGAUAUCACGAAGAACUCCGAUUGCGAAGGCAGCCUGCUAAGCUGCAACUGACAUUGAGGCUCGAAAGUGUGGGUAUCAAACAGGAUUAGAUACCCUGGUAGUCCACACGGUAAACGAUGAAUACUCGCUGUUUGCGAUAUACAGCAAGCGGCCAAGCGAAAGCGUUAAGUAUUCCACCUGGGGAGUACGCCGGCAACGGUGAAACUCAAAGGAAUUGACGGGGGCCCGCACAAGCGGAGGAACAUGUGGUUUAAUUCGAUGAUACGCGAGGAACCUUACCCGGGCUUAAAUUGCAGAUGAAUUACGGUGAAAGCCGUAAGCCGCAAGGCAUCUGUGAAGGUGCUGCAUGGUUGUCGUCAGCUCGUGCCGUGAGGUGUCGGCUUAAGUGCCAUAACGAGCGCAACCCUUGUUGUCAGUUACUAACAGGUUCUGCUGAGGACUCUGACAAGACUGCCAUCGUAAGAUGUGAGGAAGGUGG
rnacentral:rRNA from 1 species